GUUUUUGUUCUUUUGAAGGAUUUGGACGUUUGGGUAUCCAUCAGCAACUGGAAGUCUGAAAUAAUCACCAGUUUGUGUAGUUAUCGUGGUGAAAAAGAUGGGGCUCUGGUUUGAACUAAGAAAUCUGCGUGUAAAAUAAUGGAGUACGAUGAACCAAUCAAGUUGAUGGAGAAGGAC